GGAGGGGUGGCUACACCCUUGCAGGGAUCCACUACUUCCCAACUGCCAUGAAGUAAAGAGCUUGCUCCUCCACAUGCUCCCUGCUAUGUACCACACUCCUACAGAAGACUAGGAGGGAAUUAAAUUCAACUCACAUGGGCCAGUCGAUCAAAUCUGGCAAAGAGCUCGUUGAGCAUCCUGACCAGCUCCUGAGCGGACAAGGUCGUAGAGAGGAGGAACAGACGAGGAGCAGAGCCGCAUGGCUUGGAUUAAGGGCAUGCAAUCAUUGGCUCAUUUGUUACUCCUGAAAAUGACAUUUCCAGUGAAGUGAAACAGUUGCCAAGGGAAGGAGAGUGGUGGUGACAAGGAGCUUCGAUUGUCAGAAAUCCUUAAAGGAAAAUGGCAUGCCUGCCUUGCGGGAACACUACUCAUCUUAAAGGAUCAACUGCUUUGACAGAACUCCAGGAAAAGUCAAUUCCAAGGAGAAAAAGGAAUUUUUGUGAACAUUUCAUAUCUUCCCAGGAACUAGUUGAAAUAGCUUCCAGUGCCUGGAAGGAGGAGAGCAUCCUGUCAGUGGGAAAGUAAUUCCAAGACAAGGAAGGCAGAAAGUAAUUCCAGGCAAGGAAGGCAGAAGCCUUCGAGGGAGACAGACUUGAACAUUUUCUUCCUCUUAAAAGAUGAUCCCUUGGGCUGGGGAUGUGGCUCAAGCGGUAGCACGCUCGCCUGGCAUGCGUGCGGCCCAGGUUCGAUUCUCAGCACCACAUACAAAACAAAGAUGUUGUG